rnacentral:rRNA from 1 species
AGGCUUAACACAUGCAAGUCGAGCGCCCCGCAAGGGGAGCGGCAGACGGGUGAGUAACGCGUGGGAAUCUACCUUUUGCUACGGAAUAACGCAGGGAAACUUGUGCUAAUACCGUAUGUGUCCUUCGGGAGAAAGAUUUAUCGGCAAGAGAUGAGCCCGCGUUGGAUUAGCUAGUUGGUGGGGUAAAGGCCUACCAAGGCGACGAUCCAUAGCUGGUCUGAGAGGAUGAUCAGCCACAUUGGGACUGAGACACGGCCCAAACUCCUACGGGAGGCAGCAGUGGGGAAUAUUGGACAAUGGGCGCAAGCCUGAUCCAGCCAUGCCGCGUGAGUGAUGAAGGCCCUAGGGUUGUAAAGCUCUUUCACCGGAGAAGAUAAUGACGGUAUCCGGAGAAGAAGCCCCGGCUAACUUCGUGCCAGCAGCCGCGGUAAUACGAAGGGGGCUAGCGUUGUUCGGAAUUACUG